GAGUUUGAUCCUGGUUCAGAUUGAACGCUAGCGGGAUGCCUUACACAUGCAAGUCGAACGGCAGCACGGACUUCGGUCUGGUGGCGAGUGGCGAACGGGUGAGUAAUGUAUCGGAACGUGCCCAGUAGCGGGGGAUAACUACGCGAAAGCGUAGCUAAUACCGCAUACGCCCUACGGGGGAAAGCAGGGGAUCGCAAGACCUUGCACUAUUGGAGCGGCCGAUAUCGGAUUAGCUAGUUGGUGGGGUAACGGCUCACCAAGGCGACGAUCCGUAGCUGGUUUGAGAGGACGACCAGCCACACUGGGACUGAGACACGGCCCAGACUCCUACGGGAGGCAGCAGUGGGGAAUUUUGGACAAUGGGGGAAACCCUGAUCCAGCCAUCCCGCGUGUGCGAUGAAGGCCUUCGGGUUGUAAAGCACUUCUGGCAGGAAAGAAACGUCAUGGGUUAAUACCCCGUGAAACUGACGGUACCUGCAGAAUAAGCACCGGCUAACUACGUGCCAGCAGCCGCGGUAAUACGUAGGGUGCAAGCGUUAAUCGGAAUUACUGGGCGUAAAGCGUGCGCAGGCGGUUCGGAAAGAAAGAUGUGGAAUCCCAGAGCUUAACUUUGGAACUGCAUUUUUAACUACCGGGCUAGAGUGUGUCAGAGGGAGGUGGAAUUCCGCGUGUAGCAGUGAAAUGCGUAGAUAUGCGGAGGAACACCGAUGGCGAAGGCAGCCUCCUGGGAUAACACUGACGCUCAUGCACGAAAGCGUGGGGAGCA
rnacentral:rRNA from 1 species